rnacentral:rRNA from 1 species
GGAAUAACUGUUUCAGUAAAACUAAAAAGAAAUUUCUUAAUAGGUGAAAAUUCCUAUAAUCAAUAUAAUAGACGAGAAGACCCUAAGAAUUAUACAUUAAAAUUAUAAAUUUAUAAUAAAAUUUUUGUUGGGGCAACAGAUUUGGUAAAAUCAAUAACUUUUAAAUUUACACAUAAAGUAUAUUUAAUAGGAAUUUAAUUACCUUAGGGAUAACAGCAUUAUUAAUAUAUUAGAUUGUGACCUCGAUGUUGGACUAGGGACUUUUAAAAUAAGCCAUUUUAGAAGAUUGUUCUGUUCGAACAUAGAAC